GAGUAGUAAAUGUUUUGGGCAGGAAACUUAAAGAAUUUGGCGGUGUAUAUUCUAGUUAGAGGAAUAUGUCUUUUAAUUGAUAUCCCACAAGUAUUUUACUUAAAUUUAUUUACUUUGUAUAUCUCCGUCUUAAAAAAACUUUUAAAAAUAUUUUUUAUUUUUUAUAAUUUAAAAUAAGUCAGGUCAAGGUGCAGGUUAUAAUUAAGUUAAGAUGUAUUACAAUAAAUUUAUUUUUGGAUUAAAAUUUAAAUAAUUUUAUUAAAUUGGAUUUAUGAGUAAAUUUUUUUAUAGAAUAAUUUAUUGAAUUGUGUUAAUAUACAUGCACACAUC
rnacentral:rRNA from 1 species